GGUGACCUCGAAUCAGGUAGGACUACCCGCUGAACUUAAGCAUAUCAAUAAGCGGAG
rnacentral:rRNA from 1 species